rnacentral:tRNA from 1 species
UCCUGGGUGGCUCAAUUGGUUGAGUGUCUGACUUUGGCUCAGGCCAGGAUCUUGUUGUCCGUGGGUUUGAGCCCCACGUCAGGCU